rnacentral:rRNA from 1 species
UACAGAGGGUGCGAGCGUUAAUCGGAAUUACUGGGCGUAAAGCGCGCGUAGGCGGCUUUGCAAGUCGGGUGUGAAAUCCCCAGGCUUAACCUGGGAACUGCAUUCGAGACUGCAUUCUAGAGUAUGGGAGAGGGAAGUGGAAUUUCCGGUGUAGCGGUGAAAUGCGUAGAUAUCGGAAGGAACAUCAGUGGCGAAAGCGACUUCCUGGACCAAUACUGACGCUCAUGUGCGAAAGCGUGGGGAGCAAACAGG